rnacentral:rRNA from 1 species
AACCGCGUAUGGCUCNUUAUAACNGCUAAAAUUUACUUGAUUUUGACAAAUCCUACAUGGAUAACUGUGGUAAUUCUGGAGCUAAUACAUGCAUAAAAGGUUUCUUUUUUUAAAAGAAAUUGCGUAUAUUAGUGUUAAAACCAAGCAUUCUNUGAAUGUUUUGUGUUGAACCUGAAUAUAUCUGCUGAUCGAAUGGUCUUGUACCGUCGACAUGUCAUACAAGUGUCUGAUCUAUCAACUUUCUAUAUAAGUAUAUAGUACUUAUAUGGUUUUGACGGAUAACGGGGUAUUAGGGUACGACUCCGGAGAAAACGCCUGAGAAACGGCGUUUACAUCCAAGGAAGGCAGCAGGCGCGAAAAUUACCCACUCUCAGUUCGAGGAGGUAGUGACGAGAAAUGACAAGAUCUAUUCCUUCGGGGAUGGAUCAUUGGAAUGGUUUGAUUUUAAAAUCAUUAAAGAGUAUCAAUGAGAGGGCAAGUCUGGUGCCNGCNGCCGCGGUAAUUCCAGCUCUCAUACUGCAUUGAAUUGUUGUUGCGGUUAAAAAGCUCGUAGUUGGAUCUGUACAUGAUAGGUUUGUUCAUCCUUUGGAUUGUAACAAAUACUAAAUG